GAUGAACGCUGGCGGCGUGCCUAAUACAUGCAAGUCGAGCGAACAGACGAGGAGCUUGCUCCUCUGACGUUAGCGGCGGACGGGUGAGUAACACGUGGAUAACCUACCUAUAAGACUGGGAUAACUUCGGGAAACCGGAGCUAAUACCGGAUAAUAUAUUGAACCGCAUGGUUCAAUAGUGAAAGACGGUUUUGCUGUCACUUAUAGAUGGAUCCGCGCCGCAUUAGCUAGUUGGUAAGGUAACGGCUUACCAAGGCAACGAUGCGUAGCCGACCUGGGAGGGGAAUCGGCCACACUGGAACUGAGACACAGUCCAGACUCCUACGGGAGGCAGAAGUAGGGAAUCUUCCGCAAUGGGCGAAAGCCUGACGGAGCAACGCCGCGUGAGUGAUGAAGGUCUUCGGAUCGUAAAACUCUGUUAUUAGGGAAGAACAAAUGUGUAAGUAACUAUGCACGUCUUGACGGUACCUAAUCAGAAAGCCACGGCUAACUACGUGCCAGCCGCCGCCGUAA
rnacentral:rRNA from 1 species